UUUGUCUACUCUCUGGAUUACGCCCGAACUCGAUUGGCUAAUGAUGCUAAAGCUGCUAAAAAGGGAGGGGAAAGACAAUUCAAUGGCCUAGUUGAUGUCUACAGGAAGACACUGCAAUCUGAUGGCAUUGCUGGCCUUUACCGAGGAUUCAAUAUUUCAUGUGUUGGAAUUAUAGUUUACCGUGGUCUUUACUUUGGAAUGUACGACUCCUUGAAGCCUGUGGUUCUUACAGGGAAAUUACAGGUAUGUGGUUUAACUUGAAUGUACGACUCCUUGAAGCCGGUGGUUCUUACAGGGAAAUUACCGUGUUCUUGGAUCUGAUUCUGACUCAUUGCGUUUUUUACGAUUUCAGGAUAGUUUCUUUGCUAGUUUUGCUCUAGGUUGGGUGAUCACCAAUGGUGCUGGACUUGCGUCAUACCCUAUUGACACCGUUCGCAGAAGGAUGAUGAUGACCUCUGGAGAGGCUGUCAAGUACAAGAGCUCC
rnacentral:lncRNA from 1 species